UUCAUUUGGAUUCUAAUUAAACUAGUCUAAGUAGCAUCCUCCAUGUGGGGCAUGUCACCCUCAUUCUUCACAGCACCCAUCAGCUCUCAUCACACUCAUAAAUGGGGCCUGAUUCUGAAGGCCUCUGAAUUUGCCAUCUGUGCUUGCUCAAGACCCCUUCCCUAACUUCAUAGCCUUCAGCAACUGUACACACUUCUGUGUCUGAUUUUCUGAUUAUAAAUUAGUGAUAAUCCCUCUCCUUCCAUACUACAAAAAUCAGGAUUGGUAACGUCUUUAGAACUAGGGAUUGUCAGUGUUAUGUAUUACCUAAAGUCUACUUCCAUACCAACUAAAAUGCUUUUAACAAACAGAAAAAGAUUUAGCCACAAGCAAAAGUACAUGUAACCCCCUGAGAAAAGCCACAUGGUAGAAUUGCAUGUGUAAGUUCUGCACUCUGUUUCUAAAACUAUUUAGGAAACAUUUGCUCAGUGUCGGAGUCAUUCUCACCAGGCACACGGGAUUCAAUCAGUGAGAAUUUCAAUGGAUGGACAAAACAUUCUGGUGAAUGGGAAAGGUGAUGGCACCCUUGUUUACCUAAGAUGGAGGCAGUUUGGAGGAAACUGAGCCAAUGAAAUUCCUGAAUAUUGCCAACAACUUUUAACUUAUUUAAACAACACCAUGGAUGAGGAGAAUAAUUAUUUAAAUAUAACCCGAGGAGAUGGCUCGGAUUUGGGAUCAGAAUCUGAACACACAAUAAAUAAGAAUAUGAGGUCAAGCAUUGACUCAUCGCAAGAAGAGUUAGUUCAAGUUGAUAAUACAAAGAAAAUUUCAUGGAUACAACAAAAAGGCCAAGAGGCCAUCAAAAAGGAGGUCAAAUUGUUUUCUGAGAAAAGGAAAGAGAUUAAAAAAGGAAUCAAAGCCCUUGCUAAAACUGUAAGUGUUGUGAUUUCAUAUAUGCAUACAUUUCGUCCUCAGGCUACAAUUACUUUUGAACUUUAUUUUGUUCAACACAGCAUGAGGAACUAUACCUAUUUUGUCCUCUGCCUGUAAGCUCAGUGUUCUGGGGUACUUAACAGGGUAGAAUUUGGG